rnacentral:rRNA from 1 species
CCUGCCCUUUGUACACACCGCCCGUCGCUACUACCGAUUGAAUGGCUUAGUGAGGCCUCUGGAUUGAACCUAUGGCUGGGGCGACCCGGCCGUGGGUUGAGAAACUGGUCAAACUUGGUCAUUUAGAGGAAGUAAAAGUCGUAACAAGGUUUCCGUAGGUGAACCUGCGGAAGGAUCAUUA